GAUGAACGCUAGCUACAGGCUUAACACAUGCAAGUCGAGGGACCGGCGCACGGGUGCGUAACACGUAUCCAACCUUCCCUUUACUCGGGGAUAGCCUUUCGAAAUAGAGACUAAUACUCAUUCCAAAGGAUUGGGAUGCGUUCCAUUAGGGUGUUGGUGAGGUCACGGCUAAGCAAGCCUUCGAUGGCUAGGUGUUCGGAGAGGAAGGUCCCCGAGAAUGGAACUGAGGCCCAGUCCAAACGGCUACGGGAGGCAGGAGUGAGGAAUACUGUGGAAUGGGGGGUAGCCGGAACAAGCCAAGUAGGGUGAAGAAUUAAUGCGUAGGGGUCGUAAACUGCUUUUAUAUAACAAUAGGUAUUAUAUGAAUAAGGAACGGCUAACUCCGUGCCAGCAGCCGCGGUAAUAC
rnacentral:rRNA from 1 species